GAGAAUNUACCUUCAGGACGGAGACAACAGUNGGAAACGACUGCUAACCCCCGAUGUACCGAAAGGGCAAAUAUUUAUAGCCUGAAGAAGAGCUUGGGUCCGAUUAGCUAGUNGGAGAGGUAAAAGCUCACCAAGGGGACGAUCGGUAGCUGGUUNGAGAGGANGAUCAGCCCCACCGGGAAUGAGACACGGCCCAGANUCCUACGGGAGGCAGCAGUGGGGAAUUUUCCGCAAUGGGCGAAAGCCUGACGGAGCAAGACCGCGUGGGGGAAGAAGGCUUUUGGGUUGUAAACCCCUUUUNUCUGGGAAGAACGCAAUGACGGUACCAGAGGAAUCAGCAUCGGCUAACUCCGUGCCAGCAGCCGCGGUAAGACGGAGGAUGCAAGCGUUAUCCGGAAUGAUUGGGCGUAAAGCGUCCGCAGGUGGCAGUUCAAGUCUGCUGUCAAAGACCGGGGCUCAACCUCGGAAAGGCAGUGGAAACUGAACAGCUAGAGUAUGGUAGGGGCAAAGGGAAAUUCCUGGUGUAGCGGUGAAAUGCGUANAGAUCANGAANAACAUCNGUGGCGAANGCGCUUUGCUGGACCAUAACUGACACUCANGGACGAAAGCUAGGG
rnacentral:rRNA from 1 species